AUUGAACGCGGGCGGCAGGCCUAACUCAUGCAAGUCGAGCGGAUGAAGGGAGCUUGCUCCUGGAUUCAGCGGCGGACGGGUGAGUAAUGCCUAGGAAUCUGCCUGGUAGUGGGGGAUAACGUCCGGAAACGGGCGCUAAUACCGCAUACGUCCUGAGGGAGAAAGUGGGGGAUCUUCGGACCUCACGCUAUCAGAUGAGCCUAGGUCGGAUUAGCUAGUUGGUGGGGUAAAGGCCUACCAAGGCGACGAUCCGUAACUGGUCUGAGAGGAUGAUCAGUCACACUGGAACUGAGACACGGUCCAGACUCCUACGGGAGGCAGCAGUGGGGAAUAUUGGACAAUGGGCGAAAGCCUGAUCCAGCCAUGCCGCGUGUGUGAAGAAGGUCUUCGGAUUGUAAAGCACUUUAAGUUGGGAGGAAGGGCAGUAAGUUAAUGCCUUGCUGUUUUGACGUUACCAACAGAAUAAGCACCGGCUAACUUCGUGCCAGCAGCCGCGGUAAUACGAAGGGUGCAAGCGUUAAUCGGAAUUACUGGGCGUAAAGCGCGCGUAGGUGGUUCAGCAAGUUGGAUGUGAAAUCCCCGGGCUCAACCUGGGUACUGCAUCCAAAACUACUGAGCUAGAGUACGGUAGAGGGUGGUGGAAUUUCCUGUGUAGCGGUGAAAUGCGUAGAUAUAGGAAGGAACACCAGUGGCGAAGGCGACCACCUGGACUGAUACUGACACUGAGGUGCGAAAGCGUGGGGAGCAAACAGGAUUAGAUACCCUGGUAGUCCACGCCGUAAACGAUGUCGACUAGCCGUUGGGAUCCUUGAGAUCUUAGUGGCGCAGCUAACGCGAUAAGUCGACCGCCUGGGGAGUACGGCCGCAAGGUUA
rnacentral:rRNA from 1 species